UCCCUGGUGGCUCAGAGGGUAAAGCAUCUGCCUGCAAUGCAGGAGACUCGGGUUCAAUCCUUGGGUUGGGAA
rnacentral:tRNA from 1 species